GAGCAGUGCUGAUUCCAAGCCGCCGUCGCAGCACGAGCUGCACCCCGUUGUGCCGUACCGGCCCCGCGCCUCGCCACGACCCCGCGGCGCGACCGGCCUCACCUCCCCGUCCCCGCAAGCGCCGGUUACGCAGUGCUGCCGCUGCAGCAUCGGUUUCGCCUCCGGAGCACUCCGAGGAGGACCCAGAAUUUACAGAUAAGCAAAAGACUCCUGACUUUCAGAACACGUGGUCGCGAGUGCGGGGGCGAAGGGCGCGCGGUAAACGUGGUAGCUUUGGAGGUUUUUCCGGGUCUGUUUUCGUCUGACCGGGAUCUGCGCGGGGGGAACGCAGCCGCCGCCGGACUCGGGGGAGCUUCUGUGCCGGAGGUGACCUGAUGGAGGAGAAGAAAAAGGAGGACACAGCUCUCCGGGAGCCCUAGUCGGGCUGCGGCAGCUCAGACUUGGCAGGAUGGGACGACUGACAGAGGGACGGGAGGUUUUAGAUUCUUCAGCGGGGGGUGGGGGGACGCGGUUGGCAUGGUUGCCGCUACUAUUCCAAUGCGAAGACGAGAAAGUCUGGAGAGCGCAGGGGACGCGAGCCGAGACUGCUAGCGAGGUCAGGAUUAUCGGUGCUGGGAAGGGCAUAUAUUAACUGCACUAUCGACGCUGGCAGCGCUCUGUUUCGUGCUGCGGGAGUUCCGACUGGGAAAUUGCGAACAGCUCACCAGCACAGUCAGCACGGCUAGCAACACAGAGAACACUGGGCGCCUGCCUGAGCAAGCAAUGACAAGCUCCUUUCAGUGAAAAUGAAGAAAAUUGUUUUCUGAUUCCUGUGAUAUCCACGAAUGAGAACUCUCAAAACAAAGGACCGUGCUGAACAGUGAGGUCGGGUGAAGCAACAACGAGACUGGAGACUGUGGAACGGGAAAAAAAUAGACCUUGCAGAGAACGGAACACCUCAUUACAGAAGUGAGUUCAUAGCACCGAAAACUGCCGUCUCCCUAGGUGACAGUUAGCAGCCAAUCGGAUGCUGCGGUCACACUUUUUACCUUAUAAGGAAUUGUGUUUGGCUAUAAAAUGGCUACGACCCCCAGUAAACUUGUCUCAGUUUCUCCCCACGCUAGGUCCGUGUCCUUAAUGUCUUGCAGGUUCCCAGCUGUAUUCGUUGUUCCUGCAGAAACUCCUGGACUUUUUGCAAAUGUUUUUUAGAUUGUGACCUUUUGAUUUGCUGGGAUUGUGCUCGGGUUUGGACCCACUCUGCUGCUUAGACCUGUCUGUUCCUGCAGUUGCCCAGAACCAGCUACUGUAAUCCGACAACAGUUUUGCUUCUGAGCAGUUCUGGCCUUUGUAUUUGUUUUGGAAGAACAAUUCCAGAAGGAGCGGAGGAUGCCAGAGCAGGAGAUGCAUCUCUGGGGUGUUCAGGCUUCCCUGGAGUCAGAUACCAUUCAUCCAGAAGCUGAGCUGUCACCCCAUGUGCUCCCCUGCUGAGGGAGCAUUCCCCUCUCUGGAUGCCCCUGUCCAUCCCAGGACAGUCUGUCUGGCUGUCCCUGAAGUGUCCUGAGUUGGGAAUUGCUAUUUUUUUAUGGACUUGUUCCUGGGGCUGGGAGAGCUCCCUGCCAGCCUCCUCUGGGAGCCGUAUCCCAGAGAGAGAGGGUGGCUGUACCCUUCCUCAGCUGCACCACAAGAGCCUGGCUUGCACUGUUCCUGUAUUCUGUGAGAUGGGUUUUAAUUCCUGUUGUGAAGCAACAACUUUUCUCUGGGCUUUGCUAAGCAAGGUCUCUGCUGACAGGAGGAACAGCUUGAGUUCCCUCUGCUCGUGGUUUUGUCAGAGAUGGAUGGAGGUGGGUCAUGGUCACACUGCUUUUGAUGUUGAAGAAUGCUGAGCCCAGUCUGACACGCCAAUCCCAAAACCCAACAUCCCAGUCCAAUUAUCAAUUGAAAUAAAUUAUUUAUUUUCCCUAUACUAA